rnacentral:rRNA from 1 species
UACGAGGGGGGCAAGCGUUGUUCGGAAUUACUGGGCGUAAAGCGCACGUAGGCGGAUUUGUAAGUCAGGGGUGAAAUCCCGGGGCUCAACCUCGGAACUGCCUUUGAUACUGCAAAUCUCGAGUCCGGAAGAGGUGAGUGGAAUUCCUAGUGUAGAGGUGAAAUUCGUAGAUAUUAGGAAAGAACACCAGUGGCGAAGGCGGCUCACUGGUCCGGUACUGACGCUGAGGUGCGAAAGCGUGGGGAGCAAACAGG